AGCAUUUAACUGGGGGGGUAGCAGUCCAGGGAUAUUAGUUCGUGGGGAAAAUAAACUUUAAAUGGAAAUAAAACUUUAAAAAAUAAUUUUUCUGUAUUAAUGGACUUUUGUCUUUUACCGUAAAAAAUCGUUAAGAGAUUAUUCUAACAUAAGGGACUUAUUAAACACUCGACCAAUAAAAACUGAGCGACAAAAAAAAACCAGGAAGCUUAUCCUAGUAGCAGACGAUAGACGCGGUACUGAGAAGUGAACGACGACGUUUCUCACGAUGAUGGCUGAAUCUUACACAAGUGUACUGGAGGAGAACCGCUACACACUAGUAAGCAAGGUGGAUCCAGAGCCUUUCUUGGAUUUUCUACGACAGUUACACAUCUUGUCAGAAGAGGAUUGCCAGAUUGUUCAAAACUACUAUCACAACAAAACACGAAGGGAAAGAAUGCCCAGAAAAGAAGACAGAACAAGGGGACAGGGCUAAGAAAUUGGAAAUUGUGGAACUAUUAAAAGAAAAUGGGGCAGAAGGCAGAUCUGCUUAAACUGGCAACCCGUCUAGAUUGAAGACAAGUGUAAAAGGGUCAGUUUCCACU